AUGAGAUUUAAUAGAAAUGCUACAGCUCUCCGCCCUGGAAUUUUCGCCAUACGAUAUGUGCUCAAAGCAACGAGAAAUCCUCGCGAAGAAGCUAAAACCCAGCAAAAUACCGACGAAGACCCUACUGAAGAGCAUGCAAUCCUGCAAGCUCCUAUCGAAGGACACAAAGACGGUGAUAUUGACAGCACACAAACACAAAGCAUGUCUCCUCAAUCAUCAGAAAAGGACACAGAACAGACCAUGAGGAACAAACCACCUGCGGCAGAAAUGGUACCUUACACAAGGCUCAAUGGGAGUAAACACCUAGCAAUAAGCAAAAAAAAGAGAAAAUCAGAUACCAGCACUGUUUUUACUCCUGGAGCAAAAAGGCAAAAGAAAAAGGAAAAUGCUGAAAACAUCGUCAACACCGGUACCUUGCAGCAUCAGCCAUUACCUCAAAUGGUACUCCCGCCAACAGAACCAACCGGCAUGAAGAAACAAGCUGAACGCAAGAAGAAAAACAAACGACAAAGGGUAGAAAAAGAACAAGAAGAUACCAACAGCAAAGGUUCAGAUACCAAUGACGACGACGAUGACAGACAGCAUGAUGCAGAUUUCAUUCCUACAGACGACGAUGAUGCUGAAGAGCACGAUAGCGACGCAGAACAUGACGACGAUCCCAUAUCAGGCAAGAAGGACAGAAAGAGAAGAAAGACAAGUGGGAAAGAACUGGUACUAUCAACAGUUGACGAAGAACAGCGAGAAAUAGACGAAGAGAAAUGCCAAAUCAAGGCAGGGGCAGCAUUCGCCCAUGUCAAGAAAGCAUGGAAUUUACUUAAAGACCGUCACAAGAAAGAUAUUAGGACGGCAGGAUUUGGCAGCAUAGAGAACUGCAAAAUUACGGGCUCCAUCUGCAGACCGCUUGCAGCACACAUCUACGACAACCUCAACACAGAAACCAUGACAAUAACCUUCGGUGAUGCUACUGAAGACAAAAAAAUCAAGAUUACCAAGGAAGCUACCCAUAAGGUGUUUGGAUACCCAAACGGCACGCAAAGGUCAGCACCAAGGCCAGAGACUAGCCCAGCUUCAAUAAAAGAACUGAUGUCAGAGAUUGGCUUCAAAGAUACAAAAUUCGCGCCAAAACAACUGUUCGAGAAGCUACAAAUAUUGGUGGAAAUAGAUGAUGAAGAGUCAAACAGGAAAUUAGUUAAAAUAUUUUUCCUUAUUUUUUUCCACAAUGUUGUCUGCGGGUCAAGCGCCGCUAUCUUCGCCCGGAUAGCUAUAAUGGUCAAGGACAUGGACUAUACAGAAAUGGAAAAGAUGGAUUUCUGCAAGCUAAUCGUCGAAUGUAUUAGGCAACGAGCCAAGACAUGGCAGAAGCACAGGGUGUUGCCUCAGGAGGAAAAGAACAAAAAGCACAUCAAUGGUUUGACACAGGUACCAGUAAUCAUGUACCUUGACUCCCUGCUGCUGCCAACCGACACAAAACAAAUGCGGAAGAUUGCAAAGACAAUGGACAAAACCUCAUUACCACGAGCAAACCAUCUCAAAGAGAGUGACCUAGCGAAAAUAGCUAAAGCAGACAUGAAAACGGACGGAAAAGCACGACCAGAUGACUAUGAAUUUGGCAAGAUAAAUAUAGCAGGAGAACAUCGUAAAGAAUAG
rnacentral:rRNA from 1 species